rnacentral:rRNA from 1 species
CGAUGUACACUAGGUGUUGGGGUACGAACCUCAGUGCCAAAGCAAACGCGCUAAGUGUACCGCCUGGGGAGUAUGCCCGCAAGGGUGAAACUCAAAGGAAUUGACGGGGGCCCGCACAAGCGGUGGAGCAUGUGGUUUAAUUCGAUGGUACGCGAGGAACCUUACCUGGGUUUGACAUCUAGAGGAAUACUGUAGAGAUACGGUAGUGUAGCAAUACACCGCUAGACAGGUGCUGCAUGGCUGUCGUCAG